AGUUACUGUAACUCCUCCAUAUAGAGUUUAAUCUGUAUGAUAUUUCUUAUACAUGAUAAAGGUCCACCCCUCAAUACAACUAUGUGCUAUUUUCCCAUUACUGUCAUAGUGGCACCCUGUGGAAAAAGAUGAAAGUAACUGUCACAUACAAUCUAUGAUCUGUACCAAAUGUCACAGGUUUUAUGAAGGUCUUAGCCAGAACUCAUCUUUGUAUUUUUUUUGGUCAUACAAAUAGUGCCACCCAUUGAACAUACAGUUUUAACUGUUAAUAAAGACUGUACUCAUUCAGUUUUCCAUAACAAGGUAUUAAACUUUACAGCAGAAUUGAAUUUCAAAGUCACAGCAAUACCAAUUAAAAGUGGUACCACAAUGCCUAUUCACACAUAAUCUCAUAGUUUUGACCUAAAGUAAUCUUUAUACAUUUUAAAUUUUGUCAUAGUGAUUGCACCACGUACCAACACACAGCAGUAGCUGCAGCGAAUACAGAUCCUGCUGUACAUCCAACAGCUGCAUUAGGCCCCAACAUACAAAAAGGUGCAAGGGCCUGUUCAUCACCUUAUGGUUUAAAUUCAGCUUGUAUUUAUUUGUGUUUAUCUUACACCCAAACUUGGAUCCUACUCCCCACAAGCCUCCAGGGUUGAAAAUUAAUCCAACACAGAUGUGCAAACCAAACCCUGUAGUUUCUCCACUGUCCACUGGAGGCUGUUUCUUAAAGCCAGUCAGUCCCAGCAGAGCCUCAUGACAAAAUGUCUAAAUUUUUACAGCAGAAGUUGACAACUAUACUGGCUGAUUUUACCUAAAACUCAUCUGUUUUUUAUUUCAUUAAAGGAUUUAAAUUAUGUUUUACUAGGGUGUUGGUCUUCUCGAGUUUAGAGAUAACAUCAUAUUAACAUUAGACAAAUGAACUGUCUGUCUGUGUGCUAGACCAGCCACACAAACUGACACAUACAUUUCUAACAUUGUUUUAUCUGUUAACUGUGUCUGUGCUCACUCCUAAACUGUUAGCUUCUUCAUAUUGAACAUACUUCUCCCUGACAGUGUUGAGUCUGCAUAUAUUGCUCCUCUGACACUAAAAGAACAGAUUAAUAGGAACGGUUGAGAAAGAGUUAAUUUGCAUUACACUCCACACACUCACACAAUGCUAUCUCUGAUAAUGAUCCAUUUUCUCUUUAAUUUAUUUCAGCCUAUUUGAAGAAAGAGAGCGAGAGUGAAAAGUCUGAGUGAAAGUUUUUAGCUCAGCCUGCCCAUCAUUGUGUAACUGUGUCACUGAAGUGGAGCAGUGUGACCUUCACCGCUUCCCCUACUUUUAGAAAAUGAGCUGAUUCUCAGGCGGAGCUCCAAACUUUUUUAGUCUAUUAAUACACUGUUUUGUUUCCAUGCCAGGCUUUCAAUGUCUUACACUGCUUUCUAUCAGAGUUUGUAACUUUGUUAAAGGGAAAUGCAGAAACAAAUUGCUUGCAGGGAUGAGUUAAUGUAGAGGCAAACAAGCUGUACCGUCUGCAGACGGGAGCAGCUGUAGAGUCAGAUUCCGGAAUGAACAGCAGAGACCUGUCUGUCUUAAACCAUUUACAGUCUCCACCAGUAUCUUUAUAUCCUGAAAGAUUUUUAUAAGAUGAUCUUUGUUCACAAUAAUCUGAUCAAGGAUCAUACUCAGUCUGUCUUUAAAAGAAUCAUUACCUUAUACAAAGCUGUCAGUUUACUUAAAUUACUGAAUUACCAAUUACCAUAGAUAACUAAAAGUCUACAAAGGCCACAUGAUCCCUUUUUUUAGUUGUUUGUGAUUUGGUGAAUCAACUGACUGUUGGUUUUCCCAGUAUGCAGUGCUUUAAGUGGGCUGGAACAAAGUUGUACACAGUACUGGCACUUUGACAUUUUACCCAUCAGCUUACCUGGACUGUUCUGGUUUUCCCCAGCCGUCAGUACCCUCCUCUGACCACAGUUUACAGCUUGUAUUUGUUGAUAAUAAAAAUAUAUCAACCCGAUAGAAACCCAUUGUUUUGACGCGUGACUCUUGCCAUAUGACGUCAUGGCACAGUGCAUAUUGUGUAUGAUGACUCUUAAUUUUUAAAGUAAAAAAAAUAAAUUAAAAAAAGGCUCUCGCUUCUGUGUAAUCAUUUAAGUGGAUGUAAGUGUUUCAUAUGAGAGAGGAAAAGCGGAGGGAAAACGGUCACGGCUGUGGUGUUGGCCUGGCUCUGAAAAGGUUAAAAGAGAACACGAACUGGAGCAGAGUUGAAUGAUGACAGCAGAACCCUCGAACAGUCCCUCACUACACCAGAAAACAGAGGUCAGAAGCCGCAAGCUAGCAUCAACGCAUCCAAGAAGGAGCUUGCUGCUGCACAAACACUUGUUGCUGUUGAUAUCGCUGCUGAAAGAGAUGUCAACUUUAACAUUAGACAAGAUGAGCAGUGGCCAGACUGUUGGUCAAUGAAUCAAGUGCGGUAUUUUUGCUCACAGAAUAACUGGUUUAUUGCCAAAGACAGAAAGCUUGGCUGCAAGGUAUGUCCCAAAGUCAGCUCACUGGUUCCUAGACUGAGCAAGGACUUUGGAUGUCAAGUUAGUGGAGUGGGUGUUUAAUGCUUGCAUUUGGGGAUGAGAAGAAGCUGCUGGUUAGACAGAUUCGAGUGUUUGAAUCCAUGGUAUCAUCACUGGCCCAUACUCAGUGGCUGUUCUUCAAGCUCUGAAAGAAAAAGUCUGUAGCUUCACGAAAAUGAGAGAAUUGUGAAGAUCAAUGCAGGCCAGUUCUUAUGCAGCGUGGCAGAAAGUUUGAAGUGUAGGAUGAAUCCAUCAACCUCCUCUUGUGUCAGCACACAAAGCUCCUUGCAUAGUGGUGAAUCCCAGCUAGCGAAUGAUAUGAUGCUUCUCCAGCCAAAUAAAUGGCCUGACAUACAGCAUGGUGAUGUAGAGGUGCUCCACUUGUGUGACGGGCUAAAAGUAAAAAGAAUAGGAAGUAUCUAAGGGUUUCAGGAAUACAAGGAGAAAGGAGGAUCCAGGACACCAACGGAUCUAAAGCCCUUACCUCAAGCUGUCAACACUAUUGCUGUGUGUAUCUAUCAGUGACUGUGAGCAAGUCUUUAGCAGCAUGAAUGACAGUCUUUCUGCCAAAAGGAACAUGAACAAGAAGUUCAGUCCACACAUUUACGUAAGGUCAUGGCUGGCAAAGGGAAGAAGAUCUGCUGAUGGGAGGACUUGUGAAGCACCAAACCAAUCAAGCAAAGAUGAACCCAAGACCUGCUGGAGCCUUUUUUUUAAGUAUCUGGUAUCUUAAUUCUAAUGAAGGUCAACCCUAUUGUCUUAUUUUUUGGAGACGAAGACUGUUUUUAAGAUCAACAAUUCAUAUUCAACAUUUUCAACAUUAAACUCUGCUGAUGUAUUUCAAUUAUUCAAAGUAUGAAAAGUGGCUUUUAUAGGUUCCUGGUGGAAGGAAAUUUCCUAACAUUCACAGCUCAUGUUUUUCUGCUUCUUUUUGCUUUCAGCUGUUGCCAUCUCCUAUCCAUAUCUAUCCCCUCUGUCUGGUGGAAGUGGAGUCAGCCUGUUUUUGUUGCUUCCCAGUAAACUCCACAAGUUCAGGCCUGAUGACUUUGUAUUUCACACAUUGUGUAUACAGGGGGUCCACACAAGAAAAACUCCACAGAGCCACUAAGUGUCCAAACCAGUAAAAUCAUGACAUGUUCUUAUGUUUAUGCAUUUAGGGAGUACCCGCACUUAUUUUGUUCCACUUAAAGCACUGCCAGUAUGCCGUCAGUGUUGCACCAACUCCCCUUUCUUUCUCCGGGUGUGUUAGCAAUGUCUGGUUGUAGUCAGGUAACAUGAGAAUGACAACAUUAAAGACAAAAGUAGCAAUAAUUACUUUUAACAUUAAUGUCCGUGAUAACAGUUGGUUUUGAUUCUCACCCUCUGCCCUACACUGCAUGCUUCUGUUUCAUGCAUUAUCCAAUCUUUUAACAAAUGGCAUGAAAAGUCAUAAAAAAUACUUCACUGAUUCACAGUCCCCUGUCGCAAAGCUGUGCUAAUCAGACUCAGACAUGUGUGUGCGUGUCUAUGCGUGUUCCUUACCUCGGUUUAUUCUCCAUAAUCCCGCUGUUUCCUUUGUAAUCCCUGUGUUCUGAUAUCUACCAGAUGAAAUGAGGUGCAUCCAGGUGUCGCUUUUAUUCAUCAUCUGAGAAACUACAUGACCCCACCUGCAGCCCCCUCACCCUCCCCCUGCUCCCCUCCUCUUCCUCUGAUCAUCUUCGACAUGAUCAUCCAUGUCCAGGUCCGUGUGGCACCACUGACCCUGCUAGCGUCGUGUCAGCCUCGGCCAGGCCGCAGCUGCAGGCAAGGCCGGUUGGCGUGGGGCAUAUGCUGCAUGUCUCCAAGGCCAUCUGGACAUGAACACCCCCCUCUCUACCUCCACUGUCUCCCUCCUCCUUCCUCCUCUGAUCCUGUCCUCUUCCUCCUCCCAUCUCACAUUCCUCUCCCUUCAUGUCAGGCUUGUGUGUCUCCUGCAGUAAAACACACAGAGAAAACACUGACAGAGGCGGGCAGAGAUGUGAAAGCUCAGAUAAAGUAAAUGUUGUUUGUGACUCUGUGGGAGUUUGUGUUCAUUGUGUGCUCAUUUUUGAGCUGUUAGAGAACAGAGAGAAUCAUCACACCAGGACACAGAGACUCCAAAAUGCUCCACACCGCAGCAGUUUAGAUGAGGAAGAACGACGACAGCAGAACAAAGACAAAGAAACUGAAACAAAGAAAAAGCAGAGACUGGCAGAGUCAGGGUGAUCAAGAAAAGUCUGAUUUAAAAACUUUAAGCUCUGGAAAAAAUUGUUUUUAACAAGGCUUCAUAAAGAUCAAAUAAAAGUUUCAUAUCAAUUUGAUUGAUUUGUUUUAGUGUCAUUCUCACACACACAUCCCUCUCUUGUGAGGGAGGGGCUUUCUCCCUCUCAAAAAAAUAAAAAGAAAGAAAGAAAAAAGUUACAGAAUUUAUAAAUGUAUAAAAAUAAAAAUAAAAAUAAAAUGAAAAAUUAAUAAAAAGAUGAUUCCACAAUUAUUCAUAAGUAGGACAAUUAAUAAAGCAACUGCUUGGUUAAAAAUAACCCUGGCAGGUGUUUUCAUUAAUAACCUCUUUGACCCAGCAGUGGCUAACAUAUGUUGUGUUUAAUUCACGAUAGCUAUUUUAUGUGUUAAAAUAGCAUUAACUCAAAAGUGUGUCUAGGAUAAUAACACAGGAUGUGUAAAUGUAACAUAACACAUGUUAGAAUAUAAUAACACAAAAAAAUGUGUUCUUUCUCACUAUAGUAAGAAAGUUACACACAGCACUUAAGGUCACUGCCAACAGCCAAGAAAGCUGACUUUGACAGGAGUCCCAAAUAUAACAAGGUGAAUAGCAACUCAGGGUUCAGGAUUUUAGAGUGUUUAAAAUUGCAGGGAGGGGGAGCACCUCUGGGGCUAGGGCACCUCUGGAAAAAAAAACCUGAAUCCGCCCCUGACAUCCUCACCUCUCCUCUUUGAGCAGUGCUGAGACCUCCUCUUUCCUGCAUUUUCUUUACGCUUUUCAGUGUCUGAUAUUUGGAAAAAUUCAUCAGCAGGACCCUAAAUAACAUGACCCAUGUUUGAAUGUUUCAGUAUCACAACAGGUGACCUGUGUGUGGAAGAUCACCUGGUGUACUUGACUGUUGUAUUGUUAUUUUUAUUUUUAUGUGUGUGUUAUCUGGACGGCUGGGUUCCUGCCUGCAAACAAAAUUUACCGCAAGGUAUAAAUAAAGAAACCUUUGAACCUUUGAACCUUUGAUAACAGUUAGCAACAGCAACCAGUUGAGCAAAACAGCUGUAUGAGAAGGUUUUUAUGUCAGGUGUUGAUCACAGUCAUUAUCCCACACUAAAAGGAAGGACUUUCUCUCUCUGACUUUCUCUCUCUUUGAUCAAUUGCAGAGCAGAUGGUAUUCACACCAUACGGGGGGUAAGGGGUCAUCUUUAAUUGUUCACUUAAAAAGGCAACAAAUUGUACUUGAGCAGCUUUCCCAGUUAUAAUCUAGGUGUAAGAAGCUCUGUGCUCGAGUCCAAGUCUCAGACUCAUGUACCCAUCUAUGACCUAAACUGAAAGUUCGUCACAGGAGCUUCAAGGAGAAAAAUUGGUUGGUAGAUUUCAUGUAAGAAGAAGAAUGUUUGGGAAGCUGCUGGACCACCACACCAAAAUAAUUUAAGGCUGGGCUACUCAAUUUGCAGCCCCGGGCCAAAUCUAGCCUACCUGCAACCUCUGAGCAACCCCUGACCAGAGCACAUGUAUCUAGUAUAUGACAAAAUAACUGUACAGCACAUACACAGUGCACGAAACUCACUGAGCUCUCUUUCUCUAUUCAUAUCUUUGCAGAGAGUUUCACAUGCACAGCACCAAUCAGGACAGAGGUUCAUGGAAGUAGUCAUGAUGAAAACAUUCAAACACACUCAAUAUCCUGACUUUUAAAGAUGAUGCCCACAAAGUACUCAUCUAAUUCACUGUGAACUCCAAAUACUGAACCAAUACGACCCAUUUAUAGAAAAUGUGUUGCAGUACUUAAAGGAAAUAAAAUUCUGAGGCAUCACUUUGAAAAAUACCCAUCUUCCAGGACUAAGGAGAGAGAGGGGGCCAAAGUCCAGAGCAUGUCACCCUCUGCCCUCAUUUCAGAAAAAUGCUGCAGAUGUGCCCUCCUUGAUGCUCCUUAUGUAAAUAAAACAUCAUUAAAUGCCCUCUCUGGUGCCCUUCCCUUGAGAAAUACAUGAAAAUUGCCCCAACAGCUGAUCUUCUGAAGCAGUGGCGCUCCUGUCAUUAAGCGGAGUAGGCGGCUGCUAGGGGCGCCUGUGAGCAGAAAGGGCGCCAAGAUUUUGAGAAGAUUUUUUUUUUUUAUAAAUACUUUUUAUUUCGCAUUAUAAAACAACAACAAAAACACAGCAAUCUAACAACAGUACACACAGUCUUAAAGUCUCUAAACAAUGGCUAAAUCAUUUAUAUAUUUGGGCUUAAGUGUCUGUCUGCCUGCAACCUGAAUGCAAUUUCGCUACGGUCCCCAAUGAAUUGCACACAGGACACGACUCCUCCCCACCCCUCUGCUCUCUCCUCGUAGUCGUGCUGUGCUUGCUUCCGAGGUAAGUUGGGUUGCUAACUCUCUCUCUGUUAAACUCAACCAGUUACAGCCAGGUAACUUGAAACACAACACACCCGCAGUGCCGCCGUCGCGACUUAUGCAUCACCAUCACCAGUUCACCACACAGAGAGACCACACCAAGCUCAGCCAACAAGGCAAUAAUAAGCCAAGGCAGGCCACGCGGAGCAGCGUCAAUUAUCAUCAUGGCUUAAUGCCUCAGCUGUUAGGCAACAACAUGCUUUUCAUGCCGAGGCAUAAUGCCUCAGUGCUUGACUUCUCCAAAGUGAAAAGUCGAGACUAGUCUUGACUUUCAAUUCAUUCAAAGUCGUCAGAUCAUGGCAGUCCAACAUGUUGCAGAAUGCAGAUCAAAAAUACAACGUACGAGCUAAGCAAAUCGUUUGUGUCCAGCCAUUUGCUGAUGUUUGAGUUAAAGUUACAGAUUUACAGAUUUAAGGGGGAUUUAUUAAGACCCCGUUCCCACAGCCGGUGUUAUGCCACAGAAUACACCCCUGCCAUAGAAUGCCCCCCUGACGAGAGCGCGGUUGAAAGUACAUGACAAGGCGAAAUAAUCCAAGUUUUCCUUACCGUUGGACUGAUUCUAAAGUUUGCACUGUUUGGUUCAAAACGCAGAGUCUAUGUCCGCAGACAAACUGGUGAAAGUCUGAAAGCACCAUGUGUUACACCCACAAUUCAGCAUGGAGGUGGUAGUUCCAUGGUAUGGAGAUGUUUUGCAGGAGAUAGAGUAGGAGCUUUGUUUGAAGUAAAGGGUAACGUGAAGAAGGAACAGUACCACUCCAUCCUCCAGCACCAUGCUGCUCCAUCUGGACUAAGACUUGUGGCUCAUAAGUUUGUUUUGCAGCAAGACAAUGACCCUAAGCAUUCUGCCAAGCUCUGUCAGGGUUACCUAGACAAAAAAGAAGAGGAAGGUGUUCUUCAAAAGAUGGUUUGGCCCCCUCAGUCUCCAGACCUUUCUCCAAUUGAGCUUGUGUGGGAUGAAUUGGAUCUAUCGGUCAGAAAAACGCAUCCCACGAAUCAGCAGUCUCUUUUCAAUGAACUUAAGAAAGCUUGGAAUGCAAUCCCUGGAACAUACCCUAAAAAACUUGUGGAACGAAUGCCUGGUAUAUGCCAAGCUUUUGUUAAAGUCAGAGGAGGUUACUUUAAGAAAGCAAAAUCUAAGCAACAAUAACUCAAAUACCUAAUAAUUAUAGUCAAAAUGUCUUCUGAUAAGUUACUCUUUACACAAUAGUGAUGUUAAUUGUGUUGCAAAUUAUAUAUAUAACUAUGAUCUUUUUUUGUACAAAUCUGAUCUUGCUUCCAAACUUUUGGCCUGUAGUGUAGGUUUCAUCAUUUCAUCGUAGAAAUACAGAAUUAGUGUCUGUUUGCAUUUUAUUGUGCAUCAUACGGUCACAAAAACUGAGGAGAAAGUGAGACCAUGUUUUCAGUAAAUGUCGUGAUUUCACUCUGCAGAAACUGUCAGAGACAGACAGACCUCCCUGUUUAAUUACAGCCUGCUCCCUGAGCUUGACAGAGAAACCUAUUUGAUUUUAAUUCUAUCAAAAAAACAGACCUUUAUUUCAAAAUGAGACACUGACAGUUUCAGGAUGUGUUUAUGAGAAUGUACCUCCAAGCUACCCCAGUCCCCUGAGCAGAUGAUGGGACAUGAUUCUGGUAUUCAGUGUGAGCAGCCCACACACACACACACACACACACACACACACACAGGCUGGAGGUUCUGCGCCAUAUGUCCUCUGCGCCCUGUGUGACCGCGCUGCACCCCGCUGCUCUUUAUGGGUGUAAAGUGGAAAUAAUUGGCUGGCUCGUCGGGGAGAGGUCAGCGAGACGGGGAAUGAAAAUGAGGCAGAGCAUUCUGGGAAAGGUCAGAGAGAGGGGGAAUAGGAAGGAGAGAAAGUGGAAUAUUUCAGGCCAAUGGAGUGUGGCUUCCCCCGGGAGAAACAGAGAGGGAGAGAUGGAUGGAUGGAUGGACAUGACAGUGUGACUCUCACACCUCCACCCUCACUCCUGCCUCAGCUUCAUCUUUUACCUGCUGAUCAGGUCACUCCAUCAUAUCAGUAAAAAAAAAAAAAAACUCUGAGAGGAGUAAACCUCUGGAGGAGACAGUGGCUACAUUUCAGUUCCCUAAAGCUUCAUCCUCGCAACCUUCACCUGCAUCUUCUCCUCUCUGUCCCUCCUACCAGAGAUGCAUGGAGAGAUUCAAGAAAAUCAAGAGAGGAGAGGGAGCAGGACUGUUAUAGCUCUAAAAAAAAAUACUCAAACCUCACUUUUUCUGUAUAUUCCCUUUUUGACAAACAACCACACCAGAAAAACAUCCUGCAGUAUGUUAAUAUUAUAAAAUAAUAAAUUAAUAAUCAUUGUUUAUAUGUGCAUAUUUAGUGCUUAUCUGAUUGUAAACACUCUAUCAACUAAAUGCAAAAUAACUAACGUCAUUAUCCUGAUGAAUUUUACACUAUGUGACUAUUUUUUUUAUCAGAUGGUGUAUUAAAACUUAUCAGAAAACUGACCCUGCUCUGUUGUACAUAUGUGAUUCAUGCCUCAUAGGUUUUUCUUUGUAUGCUGGUCAAACUUUGUAGAGCUCAUGACAUACUGACUGUUUAGAAACUGAGAUAUGUCCAUGGUCACUUUCAUUUGUGCAUGAAAACGCUGGCAGAACCUCUUCAGCGGCUUAAUCCUCACCUGCUGCCAUGUCUGUACUUUCAGUGAUUAGGCACCUUUCCUCUGGAAUCAUCUACCAGGGGUAAACACCCUCUUUACCUUUACGAGUAGGCUCAAACGUUCCUUCUUGAUAAGGCUUAUAGUUGGAGCUGGUUCAGGUUCUAGCUCUUGUCUAUGGUGCUUUAGGUUUAUACUGGUGGGUGCACUGGAGCAUUGAACACCUUUCUCUACGUCUCUGUGUCAUUAACUUUGAUACUAACACAGUCUUUUCUGGGAGUCCCUGAGCUCUGUCAUGCUAUAGGCUCCUCUGGAUUGCUGCUGCAGAUGUCUUGCUGCUGUGGACCUGCCUGCUCUCCAGCUGUUUCAUCUACAAGCUUCAGUCUGUCCAUUUGUAUCGCUGUUACAGAGCUAAUGUUUAAGUAUUAGCAUCAGUCCCUCCAUUUCUGUCACUGUUAAAAGCUAAUAUUAAUUGUAGAAAUAUUUGAUUGUUUCUGCUUCAAUUGUUCUGGUUCCAACUCUCAUUACUUACCUUAACUUCUUCAACACAAAUGCAACCACUGCUAUGUUAUUACUCUCUCCAUUACAAUCUCUGGCACUGUAACCAAACAUCUAUGUAUUACUGUUCCCACUAUUGUUUAUCUCUGUGCACAUCUCUCCCUCUCUCUCUUUGUAUCUCCCUCUAUCUUGUCUCUAAACCCAACUCAGUCUCAGCAGAUGACUGUCUAACACGAGUCUGGUUCUGCUGAGGGUUUCUACCUGUUAAUAAGUUUUUGCUCUCCACUGUGACUUGCCAAAUACAGCAAAGUGUUUCACUCAUGGCAGAUAGAGAUGCAAUCAGAGUAGUUCUGGGUGAGACCUACUCUCACCAUCUUGUUGUUGGUCUUUGUAAAUAUUAAGUAAAGUCUGGUCUAGAGCAGCUUCUUAGCUGCUGGGAUGGGCCGAGUACAGAGAGGGGCCCAUGAAUCUCCUGAUUUAUGUAUUUAUUUUUUCAUUUUGUGAUGUUUUAUUUUGAAUGAAUUGGGCCCUCCAAUUAAUUGAUGUCAUAAUUUCUUACAAAUAUAUUGAUCACAUCAACUGAGAAAAUGAACUUUUUGUCACAGUCCUCCCAAUAUAUUGUGCAUUCUCGGGAAACCCUCUUGUAGGCAGCAACCCGUGACAAGUGUAACGUCAAUGAGUGAGCCCAGAUUUAAUGACCUGGGGGUUAGACAUCAUGAUGCCCAAAAAGCAUAAAUCGGGGUAUCUAGAAAAGAAAGAGAAGAAAGAGAGGAAAGAAAAAGAAAGACGGCUGACAGAGAGGAGGCAGCUGUUGACUGCUUUCUUCCCCAAAGGUGAACCC